rnacentral:rRNA from 1 species
AAUGAACGCUGGCGGCAGGCCUAACACAUGCAAGUCGAGCGCCCCCGCAAGGGGAGCGGCGGACGGGUGAGUAACGCGUGGGAACGUACCCCUUUCUACGGAAUAGCCUCGGGAAACUGGGAGUAAUACCGUAUAAGCCCUACGGGGGAAAGAUUUAUCGGGAAGGGAUCGGCCCGCGUUGGAUUAGGUAGUUGGUGGGGUAAUGGCCUACCAAGCCGACGAUCCAUAGCUGGUUUGAGAGGAUGAUCAGCCACACUGGGACUGAGACACGGCCCAGACUCCUACGGGAGGCAGCAGUGGGGAAUCUUAGACAAUGGGCGCAAGCCUGAUCUAGCCAUGCCGCGUGAGCGAUGAAGGCCUUAGGGUUGUAAAGCUCUUUCAGUGGGGAAGAUAAUGACUGUACCCACAGAAGAAGCCCCGGCUAACUCCGUG